rnacentral:rRNA from 1 species
GGUUAAGCGACUAAGCGUACACGGUGGAUGCCCUGGCAGUCAGAGGCGAUGAAGGACGUGCUAAUCUGCGAAAAGCGUCGGUAAGGUGAUAUGAACCGUUAUAACCGGCGAUGUCCGAAUGGGGAAACCCAGUGCAAUUCGUUGCACUAUCGUUAACUGAAUACAUAGGUUAACGAGGCGAACCGGGGAACUGAAACAUCUAAGUACCCCGAGGAAAAGAAAUCAACCGAGAUUCCCCCAGUAGCGGCGAGCGAACGGGGAGCAGCCCAGAGUCUGAAUCAGCUUGUGUGUUAGUGGAACGGUCUGGAAAGUCCGACGGUACAGGGUGAUAGUCCCGUACACCAAAAUGCACAGGCUGUGAACUCGAAGAGUAGGGCGGGACACGUGGUAUCCUGUCUGAAUAUGGGGGGACCAUCCUCCAAGGCUAAAUACUCCUGACUGACCGAUAGUGAACCAGUACCGUGAGGGAAAGGCGAAAAGAACCCCGGCGAGGGGAGUGAAAAAGAACCUGAAACCGUGUACGUACAAGCAGUGGGAGCACCUUCGGGUGUGACUGCGUACCUUUUGUAUAAUGGGUCAGCGACUUAUAUUCUGUAGCAAGGUUAACCGUAUAGGGGAGCCGCAGGAAACCGAGUCUUAACUGGGCGUUAAGUUGCAGGGUAUAGACCCGAAACCCGGUGAUCUAGCCAUGGGCAGGUUGAAGGUUGGGUAACACUAACUGGAGGACCGAACCGACUAAUGUUGAAAAAUUAGCGGAUGACUUGUGGCUGGGGGUGAAAGGCCAAUCAAACCGGGAGAUAGCUGGUUCUCCCCGAAAGCUAUUUAGGUAGCGCCUCGUGAACUCAUCUUCGGGGGUAGAGCACUGUUUCGGCUAGGGGGUCAUCCCGACUUACCAACCCGAUGCAAACUACGAAUACCGAAGAAUGUUAUCACGGGAGACACACGGCGGGUGCUAACGUCCGUCGUGAAGAGGGAAACAACCCAGACCGCCAGCUAAGGUCCCAAAGUCAUGGUUAAGUGGGAAACGAUGUGGGAAGGCACAGACAGCCAGGAUGUUGGCUUAGAAGCAGCCAUCAUUUAAAGAAAGCGUAAUAGCUCACUGGUCGAGUCGGCCUGCGCGGAAGAUGUAACGGGGCUAAACCAUGCACCGAAGCUGCGGCAGCGACACUAUGUGUUGUUGGGUAGGGGAGCGUUCUGUAAGCCUGCGAAGGUGUGCUGUGAGGCAUGCUGGAGGUAUCAGAAGUGCGAAUGCUGACAUAAGUAACGAUAAAGCGGGUGAAAAGCCCGCUCGCCGGAAGACCAAGGGUUCCUGUCCAACGUUAAUCGGGGCAGGGUGAGUCGACCCCUAAGGCGAGGCCGAAAGGCGUAGUCGAUGGGAAACAGGUUAAUAUUCCUGUACUUGGUGUUACUGCGAAGGGGGACGGAGAAGGCUAUGUUAGCCGGGCGACGGUUGUCCCGGUUUAAGCAUGUAGGCUGAUUGUCCAGGCAAAUCCGGAUAAUCAAGGCUGAGGUGUGAUGACGAGGCACUACGGUGCUGAAGUAACAAAUGCCCUGCUUCCAGGAAAAGCCUCUAAGCAUCAGGUAACAUUAAAUCGUACCCCAAACCGACACAGGUGGUCAGGUAGAGAAUACCAAGGCGCUUGAGAGAACUCGGGUGAAGGAACUAGGCAAAAUGGUGCCGUAACUUCGGGAGAAGGCACGCUGGUGUGUAGGUGAAGUCCCUGCGGAUGGAGCUGAGACCAGUCGAAGAUACCAGCUGGCUGCAACUGUUUAUUAAAAACACAGCACUGUGCAAACACGAAAGUGGACGUAUACGGUGUGACGCCUGCCCGGUGCCGGAAGGUUAAUUGAUGGGGUUAUCCGUAAGGAGAAGCUCUUGAUCGAAGCCCCGGUAAACGGCGGCCGUAACUAUAACGGUCCUAAGGUAGCGAAAUUCCUUGUCGGGUAAGUUCCGACCUGCACGAAUGGCGUAAUGAUGGCCAGGCUGUCUCCACCCGAGACUCAGUGAAAUUGAACUCGCUGUGAAGAUGCAGUGUACCCGCGGCAAGACGGAAAGACCCCGUGAACCUUUACUAUAGCUUGACACUGAACAUUGAGCCUUGAUGUGUAGGAUAGGUGGGAGGCUUUGAAGCGUGGACGCCAGUCUGCGUGGAGCCAACCUUGAAAUACCACCCUUUAAUGUUUGAUGUUCUAACGUUGGCCCCUGACCGGGGUUGCGGACAGUGUCUGGUGGGUAGUUUGACUGGGGCGGUCUCCUCCCAAAGCGUAACGGAGGAGCACGAAGGUUAGCUAAUCCUGGUCGGACAUCAGGAGGUUAGUGCAAUGGCAUAAGCUAGCUUGACUGCGAGCGUGACGGCGCGAGCAGGUGCGAAAGCAGGUCAUAGUGAUCCGGUGGUUCUGAAUGGAAGGGCCAUCGCUCAACGGAUAAAAGGUACUCCGGGGAUAACAGGCUGAUACCGCCCAAGAGUUCAUAUCGACGGCGGUGUUUGGCACCUCGAUGUCGGCUCAUCACAUCCUGGGGCUGAAGUAGGUCCCAAGGGUAUGGCUGUUCGCCAUUUAAAGUGGUACGCGAGCUGGGUUUAGAACGUCGUGAGACAGUUCGGUCCCUAUCUGCCGUGGGCGCUGGAGAAUUGAGGGGGGCUGCUCCUAGUACGAGAGGACCGGAGUGGACGCAUCACUGGUGUUCGGGUUGUCAUGCCAAUGGCACUGCCCGGUAGCUAAAUGCGGAAGAGAUAAGUGCUGAAAGCAUCUAAGCACGAAACUUGCCCCGAGAUGAGUUCUCCCUGAGACUUUAAGUCUCCUGAAGGAACGUUAAAGACGAUGACGUUGAUAGGCCGGGUGUGUAAGCGCAGCGAUGCGUUGAGCUAACCGGUACUAAUGAACCGUGAGGCUUAACCUU